rnacentral:rRNA from 1 species
GAUGAACGCUGGCGGCGUGCCUAAUACAUGCAAGUCGAGCGAACAGACGAGGAGCUUGCUCCUCUGACGUUAGCGGCGGACGGGUGAGUAACACGUGGAUAACCUACCUAUAAGACUGGGAUAACUUCGGGAAACCGGAGCUAAUACCGGAUAAUAUAUUGAACCGCAUGGUUCAAUAGUGAAAGACGGUUUUGCUGUCACUUAUAGAUGGAUCCGCGCCGCAUUAGCUAGUUGGUAAGGUAACGGCUUACCAAGGCAACGAUGCGUAGCCGACCUGAGAGGGGGAUCGGCCACACUGGAGCUGAGACACGGUCCAGACUCCUACGGGAGGCAGCAGUAGGGAAUCUUCCGCAAUGGGCGAAAGCCUGACGGAGCAACGCCGCGUGAGUGAUGAAGGUCUUCGGAUCGUAAAACGCUGUUAUUAGGGAAGAACAAAUGUGUAAGUAACUAUGCACGUCUUGACGGUACCUAAUCAGAAAGCAACGGCUAACUACGUG